UGGGGAAUCUUGCACAAUGGGCGAAAGCCUGAUGCAGCGACGCCGCGUGAGCGAUGAAGGCCUUCGGGUUGUAAAGCUCUGUGGGGAGGGACGAAUAAGGGUUGGCUAAUAUCCAAUCUGAUGACGGUACCUCCUUAGCAAGCACCGGCUAACUCUGUGCCAGCAGCCGCGGUAAGACAGAGGGUGCAAACGUUGUUCGGAAUUACUGGGCGUAAAGCGCGUAUAGGCGGCUACGUAAGUCGGACGUGAAAGCCCACGGCUCAACUGUGGAAGAGCGCUCGAAACUGUGUAGCUUGAGUCUUGGAGAGGAAGGCGGAAUACUUGGUGUAGAGGUGAAAUUCGUAGAGACCAGGUAGAACACCAGUGGCGAAGGCGGCCUUCUGGACAAUGACUGACGCUGAGACGCGAAAGCGUGGGGAGCAAACAGGAUUAGAUACCCUGGUAGUCCACGCCGUAAACGAUGAGUGCUAGGUGUCACGAGCUUUGACCCUCGUGGUGCCGAAGCUAACGCGUUAAGCACUCCGCCUGGGGAGUACGGCCGCAAGGCUA
rnacentral:rRNA from 1 species